rnacentral:misc_RNA from 1 species
AAGUCGUAACAAGGUCUCCGUAGGUGAACCUGCGGAGGGAUCAUUACCAGAGAUGGCGGGCCCCGGGCCCCCGUCCCCAACCCUUUGUUGACCGAACCACUUUUUGCCUCGGGGGCAGAGCGGCCUCCGCCGCCCCCGGUGGACCAUCUAACCCUGUCUCUGUACGUCAGAGUCUUUGAUGAAUAAAUGAAAACUUUUAACAACGGAUCUCUUGGUUCUG